UGGCUGGCGGGGCCCGUGGGUGCCCGAUGGGCUGGGUUUGGAGUGAAGAAAAAAAUCCGUUUAAUAAACGGGCCGGGACCGGGUUUCUGGGACAGACCCGCGGGUCGGGUUCGGGUAUGGAAAAACCUGGCCUGAACCCGACCUGUUGCCAUUCCUAAUUGUAUAGUGGAUUUUAGUUUGUGUAUGCUAGUAUUUGCUAUACCAAUGGUCAUUUGGCCUUGAUGUGGGUGGAUAUAAUCUAACAAAAUCUAUCAGGGUGAGAUGCAGGAUAACUUGGAUAUAUCUUCUUGCCCAUGUCACACAUCUGUCUGAAUGGAUCUCCUGUCCAUAACUGAGAUUCCAUCCUUUUUUUUUUUUAAAAGAAAAAUAAGUAUAUAGGAGUAUUAAAAGGUAGGAUUUUGGUGCUAUGGCUAGUGCCCUCUAAGUGUAUAGGAGUAUUACAAGUAUGUUCUCUUGGGAAUUUAUAUCAUACUUCAUUGUUAUUUAUCUGUAAUAUUACUCCACUUAAAAGAAAUAAGGCACAAUAAGUUUUAAUGUCCACUAUAAUUUAUCUAAAGCAUUUGGAACAUGGGGCAUUCUAAGUAUUGUAUAUGAGGAGUAUUUUAAGUUAAGAAAGACACAUUGGAGUUAAGUGUAGGCUUUUGCACUUCUUUUAAAACUCUGUAAGUUAUGCAUAGUUCCAGAAGUAUAAUUGAUUGCUUUGUGAUAUUAUUAACUGGCAUUUGUUUGUAUCUCUGAUAUGAAUGUUUGAUGGUAUAUUAAUUCUUACAGUCUACAUAAUUUUUUUCCCAGAAUUCAAAGGAUUAUGCUGUUCUGGGUGCAUCCUCAAAAAUUGCUGCAGUUCUUCUGACAUAUCCAUUCCAAGUAGGCAUUUGUCUUGCAUGGUGUUAGACCAUGAAUUGUUGAUUUCAUUUGUUAGUUGAUCAUUGCUUCUUAUAUGGUUAGGUGACUUGAUUUUCCAGGUUGUAAGAGCUCAAUUGCAGGUUUGACAAUGUGACCCUUUAAUUCCUUUUUGUCUCUGUAUAUGUUGUGUAAUUAUCAAACAUAUUGAAGGAAGAUGAUUGAUCCAUUCAUCAUAACUAUUAAAGUUUCCCCUUGAAAUAUUGCAUAGCCUUUAGUUUCAUUUGUAUUUUUUAUUAAUGGAUGGAAUUUGGUCAUAUCUGUUUCCCUCAGCAGCAAAGACCUAGUAGUGAUGGAAUUCCAAGAUACAUGGAUAGCUAGCAUGUUGUGAAGGAAACUGCACGGUUAGCGGGUGUUCAAGGUUUUUACAAGGGCAUUACACCAAACCUCCUAAAGAAUGUUCCUGUUAGAAGGGAACCGGCCUACAACAAAUUGGCCAUCUGUGGGUAAAGUUGAGAUACAUGAUUUGCAGAUCAGAUAUAGGCCUGAUGCACCACUUGUUCUUCGGGGGAUCAAUUGCACAUUUGAGGGAGGGCACAAAAUAGGUAUUGUUGGCAGAACUGGCAGUGGGAAGAUUAUAGUAGAUGGAAUUGACAAAUGUCAUUGUGAGUUAGCAAAUAAUAAAAUGUUGUUGUGAGUUAGUUGUACUUGUAUUACUUGCAUGUAGUUCCCCAAAUAAAAGUGUCUUACUGUAAAUAUUUUUGUACUGCCUUUCAUGAUCUCAAAUUUUGAACAAACCUUAAGUUAUUGAACAAAUCAACAUGAGGUUCAAUUAAGAUUCAAUGUUUUACAUUUAUUUUCAUU